AUUAUUACGAGCAUAAUUGAUAAUGUAGUUCUUGAGGAGAACUGAUUGUUGACGUUGACGAUGUCCACGUCCGAGUAGUUCAGGUAGACCAGGGGAUGUUGGUUCAGUAAGUAGUUCAGUAGUUGUGGUGGUUGCUCCAGGAGAUAAUGGUGAUGUAGGGGGUGAAGAUGGUGGUAGCGUAGCAUAGGAAUUGGCAGUAGUAUCUUUCUGGACCUCAGGUGUAACUGGGUAACACAGAGGUUUCAGGUUCUGGAGAUGAUGUAGUAGGCACAGAUGGCACGGGUGGAGGAGUGGUGAUAGUGGGUAGUGUGUGU
rnacentral:lncRNA from 1 species